rnacentral:rRNA from 1 species
CUCCGCGGAAAUGUGAGAGGAGGAACACACUGUUUCCCAUCCCGAACACAGAAGCUAAGCCCUCCAUCGCCAAUGGUACUGCUCCUGGAAGGGAGUGGGAGAGUAGGACCAUGCCGGGG